UACGAGGGGGGCAAGUGUUGUUCGGAAUUACUGGGCGUAAAGGGAGCGUAGGCGGGCUCUUAAGUUGGAUGUUUAAAACCGGGGCCUAACCCCGGCGUGGCAUCCAAAACUGGGAGUCUUGAAUGGGACAGAGGCCAGUGGAAUUAGAGGUGUAGCGGUGGAAUGCGUAGAUAUCGGGAAGAACACCCGUGGCGAAGGCGGCUCUCUGGAACGCAACUGACGCUGAGACGCGAAAGCGUGGGGAGCAAACAGG
rnacentral:rRNA from 1 species